rnacentral:lncRNA from 1 species
AUUUCUAAUCAUAUCUUCUCUCCCCCAUCUUUUCUCUCUCGAUAUCACCCUCUCCGCCCAACCUACCCUCUUUCUAUAUUCCGUCGACGAGCAAUCUAUGAAGCCACCGAUGGAGUACUAACUACACUACCAAAGUCCUCUUGGAGCUGGAGCUGCACGAUUCUCACGAAUCGGCUCAAGUUAAUUCACAUUCUUGGUUGAAUGGUUCGCGAUUGCCAGAAAAGAGCCUUUAUCAUUGAUUUUAGAGGAGGUUCAAGUGUUUCCAGAAGGCUCAAGAGAGUUUUUGGACUCAGUACAAAGUGGAUAUCGAGGAUGCAGCUUCUGGUGGUCCGAUUAAUCAGUCUGACUCGAACCGAUUUUGGUGGUGGUGACUAUACUGAAGGCGGAGGUGGAAUUUAGGUGUUGGGGAUGAGUAUGGUGAUGGUAAAGGCGAGUACAGUUGUGAUGGUGGGGAAAAACUGGUAGUGAAUGUGGAGUUGUUCUAGGACUUGGUGGCUAUGAAUUUAGUGGUGGUGGUAUUGUUGGUUAGGUGGUGGUAGUGGUGGUGUUGACAGGAGUGGUGGUGCUAGCGGCAGUGGGUGAGGUAGCACGACAUUUGAUUAGUGUAGGUGUUGGAUCUGUGGGUGGCGUGAAUCUGCGGUUGUGUUAAUUGACAAUUGGUAGUGGUGCGGUGAUGUUGGCGGUUGGUGCUUGUGGAAGUAAUGUUGAUGGUGAAGGUGAUGUGGAUUUGAAGUGAAGGUAGACUUGAGUUUAACGUGGCAGUGGUGGUGCAUUGGCGAGGCGAUGGUGGUUAGUGGUCGUGGAUUUCUGGUGUUGGCCCUUGGUGUAUAUAAAUUUGUUUAUGGUGACCCUCAGUAACCAAAUAUGUGUUUAUUAUGAUCGAGUGUAAUCAAUUAUAUUUUCAUUAUAACUAUCUAUGACCAAAUUAAUAGCCAGUCACAAAUUAAAUUAAUGUGGUCACAGACGGUAACAUUGAAAACGAAUUUGAUUUCAAUUAGUCAUAUAUGACACAAGUCAUUAAAGGUUGUAUUUUUGGUCUUGGAUUUGAGUUGAAAGCGAUAGUGGUAAUGCAUUGGAGGUAAUGUGGUGGUGGAUUGUGGUACUGCUAUUCAGUGUAUGUAAAUUUGUUUGUGGUGAUCCCUUGUGGUCAAGUAUGUGUUUAUUGUGAUUGGUUGUGACCAAUUCUAUAUUAAUUGUGAUCGGUAGUGACUUAUUCACAUAUCAUCACAUUCAAAAUUGAUCUAAUC